rnacentral:rRNA from 1 species
GACGAACGCUGGCGGCGUGCUUAACACAUGCAAGUCGAACGGAAAGGCCCUGCUUUUGUGGGGUGCUCGAGUGGCGAACGGGUGAGUAACACGUGAGUAACCUGCCCUUGACUUUGGGAUAACUUCAGGAAACUGGGGCUAAUACCGGAUAGGAGCUCCUGCUGCAUGGUGGGGGUUGGAAAGUUUCGGCGGUUGGGGAUGGACUCGCGGCUUAUCAGCUUGUUGGUGGGGUAGUGGCUUACCAAGGCUUUGACGGGUAGCCGGCCUGAGAGGGUGACCGGCCACAUUGGGACUGGGAUACGGCCCAGACUCCACCGGGAGGCAGCGGUGGAGAAUAUUGCACAAUGGGCGGAAGCCUGAUGCAGCAACGCCGCGUGCGGGAUGACGGCCUUCGGGUUGUAAACCGCUUUCGCCUGUGACGAAGCGUGAGUGACGGUAAUGGGUAAAGAAGCACCGGCUAACUACGUG